CAACACAUGAGCAUGUUAUCAGAUCGAAAACAACUUAACUCCUCGGUUCAUUACGUCAAAGCGAAACACACUCCUACCAAUGAGGGUUCAAGUGUCAAAGGGUCACUCUUAUGCUAAUUAAUAUCCCAAAUGUCAGCCAAGGGCCCGGGUCACUCCAGUUCCCACCUCGGCAUCUCUACACGUCUUCUCUCGUCGUGCCACUUCAACUUCUAGCUUGACACGAAUAUACGUCACGGAAGAUCUGAGACUAUCAAGCUACAGACCACCGAGCCAGAAAUGCACAGUUUGGAGAUGAGCUAAGGCCUGCGAUGAAAUACAGAGGGCUUGAAUCAACAUGGACUUUCACUGGACUUCUUGACACGCGGCAACCCUCGGAGACCAGGCCUGGCCGUGUUUAUUCAGCGCUAAAAAAGGUCAUCGGUAAUUUAUGAAGGUGGUAAACAGAGAUCUGUCAUUGUGGAGGAGGAUGGGGAUGAAAGAGUUGGUCAGCGGGAGGAAGAGGAAGAGAGUGAUGGUGCAGAAAAGGUAGCAGAGAGGUGGUGAAAAAACAUGCAGUUGAGGAGAGGAGUCAGAGGUGGAAAGUUCAGCUACCACUUUGGACUUGAAAUAGUCAAAUUGUAUAUCUGAAAAGGGUCACUGAGUGGGAGAUUCUUAAAGUAAGCUGUGACUUGCAACAUGAGGGUUGUGGGACUGACAGAUGUAGCUGAUUAGCUAAUGCUAUCAAUAAGCAACAUUUCUAUCUUAACUCAAGUUCCAUUUACCAGCAACACAUCUCAAGGUCAUCAUCAGCAGAUGGUGUUUGCUCAUUUGUCAUAGAGAUGGCUCAGUUGUCAUCAUUUCUAUUUCAAAAUUUCUUUUAACAAUAUCCUCCGUGUUGCUUAGCAUUAACAUGGAUAAUGUAACAAUCAUAUGUUAUAACCACCAGUUUCAAUUAUUUGAAGUUCGUUUAUGAGAAAUCCAUCAUUCAGUCCAUCCUUUUGCCAAUGUGGACAGCCAAAAGUACUACAAUACCCAUAGCUGUUGCUAUGUAGAAGAAGCCAGUCAGACACACAAAUUAGAACCGUAGAGGAUUUAAAAUGCUUUGUUACUGAUUGAAGUUACAGGAUGAUUUUUUCUGUGUAUGCUUGUUUAUAUGUAAAUGUAAUCAAAAUGCAGCAAUAUCUUUUAAGACAUUAAAGAUAUAAAAAAUACUCUGCUUUGAAUAAUAA